AAAACUAUUAUCUUGGUAUUAACAAAGCAAGAAAUUUUUAUUUAUAAAGUUUAAAAACACAUUUUAUUUAUUAGAUGUAAAGGAGAAAAAUAUGGCUCAAAUUCUUAAACUUGUUUAUGCUUUCACAAUCUUUCUUUUUAUAUUUCUUGUGGUAACCAAUGGACAAGAAUGUAAAGAUGAUGGUGAUUGUCCAACAAAUAUGUGUCUCCCUUCUCUAGUUUCGAAAUGCAUUAAUUUUAUUUGUGAGUGCACACAUUCGAUGAGUACUGAUUAAUAUUAAAAAUACCUAUAUGUUAUUAAAAAGCAUAUAUUUCAAUGGGGUUUACUUUCUUGGCAAGUUUCCUUUUCUUAAAAAAUAAUAAUUUGUAAUAAGUAUACAAUUUAUUUGUACUUCAUAAUUUUCCUCACAGUUUGAUUUAUAUUUUUCUUGCCUUUAAA